UUAAGUUCAGCGGGUAGUCCUACCUGAUUUGAGGUCAAAUUGUCAAGAAUCGUCCUUGCGGACAGUUUAGAAGCAAGUCUAAGUCCAAUCCACAGCGUAGAUAAUUAUCACACCAAUAGACGGGGCUCAGUUUGAACUCGCUAAUUCAUUUAAGGGGAGCAGACCACCAAAGUGUUCUGCACAACCCCCACAUCCAAGCU
rnacentral:misc_RNA from 1 species